rnacentral:lncRNA from 1 species
AGAAUGAGGAUGGACUUCAAUUCUUCACUCUGUUAAAAAUUUAAUGAAAAUUCUCAUGAAGAUCAUAAUACUAACAAUGAGAUACAUUGUUAGGAAUGAAGAUACAAUGCACCAAGAAUUGCAAUCAUCAAAUCUAUCACAAUGGGGGGAAAAUUGUUGUGUGAAAAUUAACAUCAAAAUGCAUAGUAGGCCAUCUUGCACUAUUUAUGGAUAACCAACAUCCUAAGAGCUAACAAAUAAAUAUAUGACAUCCUCCCAUAUUGCAGUGUUACAAAUCUCCAACCACCACCACAAUCGUUCUUGGUUCACUGCAGAAAACGUGGGGAGCAAUAAUUUAUAAAUGCAUUUCUAGAUCGACAUUUUCUUCAAUUUCUGUUGCAAACCAGGGUAAGUGAAUCCAGAUAUCUCAGGGUAGUUGUUAUAGCGAAGAAAGCCCACACCAGAAUAAUGAAUUGAGCCACUUGAACAACAAAUUUCAAGGUGUGCAAAACAUAACAUACCUAAAUAUAGAGGAUCUUCGGGAUAAAUACAUGUGUUCUUUGAGUUUUGAAUUUGACAACAUGAUUCAUUAUCCAUGUAAGGCUGUUGAUAUUCUUUAAGAUGAGAAAUUUGAAGUGGUGAAGGCAUUGAUGAAAGUAAACCUCCAGUGAUUGAGGAAUCUGGACCAUGGACAUUUCCUGGUUCCCCAACUAGGUCAACUACAUAUUCCCUGUUAAGAAAUACACAUGGAUAUAAACAAGCAGAUAUCUUCUACAUCAAGUUGAGAAUUGAUCACAUGAUAAAGUGUGAAUAUAACAAAAGCAACACAAGGAAAAAGAAAUUGGAAUACAACUUAACAAUUAUCAAGUUGGCAAUCACUUCGAGCCAUAUUCUUCAAUAAUAGAUGUUGUCCUAAAUUAUUAAAGCACUAUAUGGUAGAAGCUCAGUCUGUGGUUUAUAAUAAAGCUUACAGAAGUACUUGUAAAUAAGUAUCUUCUACGUCAACAUUCCAAACUAAUGGGCAUGGAAAACAAGAAAAUUUGUCAUCCAUGCCAAUCAACAUAUGAAAAAUAAUGGCAAAUCCUCUAGCAUUCUGGAAGAGAAACAAAACUGUAGUGGUCUAUUUGGUUUCUUAGAAAAUGUUUGUUUGGUAGCAAAACAAAUUUUCUAAAAAAAAAUAAAUAAAACCUACAAGAACAGUCAAAAGAAUCAAACCUUGAGGACUGCUUGUCAUCAAUUUUCACAAGACAUGAAGAGCGAUGAUCGGCAACACAAUACUUGCAACCUCGAGCUAUCCGGCAAGGCAAACCUAUGUAGUCCGCCAAUUUCUGCAUAUGCGAAAACCUAGUACCUGUCAGUAAUCAAUUCCGAAAGAAACAUGCUUUUUAGUAAACUAUAUAUGCUGAUGUCCCUACUCCUACAAUUAAUGGAUAAUCAAGCAUGUCAGCACAUGCAGGCUCACAUAAAAAAAAAAGGAUAUAUUAACACAAAAAUCAAAAUAAAAAAACCUACAUAGUUAAAAUGGGCACCAACACAUUGCAAAGUUGGUUGACGUUAUUUCCUAAAACACUAUGAGUGUUUUACUUUUUUGUGAUUUACAUUCUGAUCAAUUUAAAUAACAGCACAAACAUCUCUUCUUGUAGAAUUUCCUCAAGGAAAACCAAAAAAAUUAAGCAUAAGGGUGUUAUUUUUGGUUAAUAACCGGUAGAAUCAUCUAGUCUAGCAUUCAUUAGCACUAAGAUAACCGAUAACCCUGCAUUAUGAAUUGCUUGAAAGGCCAAUGUUCCAUCUAAUGAUUCUGACAGAAUAAAUGCAAGGAGAAGAGAUCAUUUAUAUUAAAAGAAAUGACAAACCCAAUCUCCCCACAAACACCAGAUAAUAAUAUUAACACAAAUUUGUUAAUUCACCAUGGCAGUCUAAAAUACCUUACUGAGCGAUCAAGGGACGGAGUCCUCUUAAUGCAUCUCUUUUUUCACCAAAACAUAUCCUAGUUGGACACCCCUUUCAUGUCACAAGUAGCCUUACUAACUUUGCAGGCUAAUACACAAAAACCCACCACCUAUUUUAUAAUUGGGUAACUAUUGAUAAUAAUAUACCAUGAUAAAUUGAUAAUCAAUUAUUAUCUAUAAUAACACUUUAGGCCUUAAAUGCCCCAGUUGGAAACCAUUUUAUAGAACCAUGUUAUGAUACGAAACAAAGUAAAUCAGGAAUCAAUCAAAUGUUCAGCAGAGUAGUUGUUUCCAGGAAAUUGCAAAAAGGAAACCUGAAAUUAUUGUUGUCAAGAAAACAUUUAUGCAUGAUAGGGAACAAAGCAUAGCAUCUUGCCACCUUGAAAAGAAUUGCUCUAUGCCUACAGAGCCCCAUUGAUAGGCUGCCGAUCGGUAGCACAAUACACUUCUGAAAAUCUCUCAAUCUCUUGCUAACCAAUUUCCAUUGCUUAUGGAGAUCACCUUGCUCCACCGGAAAACUACCCCUUUAAAUCCAAACAGGCUCAAUACGUAAACAUCAGCUAAAUCAAACAACCAAAUAAAAGGUUAAAGCAAUAAACUACGACGGAGAUGGAAACCUUACCCCAUAUAGAUUGCAACCAGCUUGCCAAGUUGCUCCACCAACACCAAGGUAUUCUCUGAAGCGCAGUAUAAUUGAUGUGCUUUAUCUUCAAGCUCCUUGAGGCGCGAGUCUCCACGUCUAUCAACAAGAACCACCUCCAUGGAUGUAUCAUUGGGUUCUACGGCUUUAAGCGCCAUUAAAGGUGGCAGCCUUCUACCUUCCUCCAAUUCAUUGCACAUCACCCACACAUACGGAUUCAUUCCCAGAAUGUUAUAGAACCCGUCUGAUAUUUUGUCAGUAUAUGACAAGCACCCACUAACCUGAAAAUUUGCAGCAUUUGAGAUUUUCAAACCACUACUAUAUUUUCAUUUAACAGAAUAGAAAAUAGUUCUUCAAUCCUCGUGAAAUCAAAAUAACGUAAACAGAUGAUCCAAAAACUUGCAUUGCUUUUCUCUGAGGCCACGAUCAGAAAAUAGUGCUCAAACCAGUGGUUUUACACAAAGACCAACCGCAAGCUAAAAGAAUAUGAAAAGUAAGAAGACAGUGAGUACCCAAAGACGAUAGGAAACAACGUCGGGAUCGAAGGAGACGGCAUUUCCCUCCGCUCCACUCUCUUGUAAAAAGAGCACAGGCUCACAAGCCAACGACGCUUGAGAAGCGAGUCUUUUAGCAAGCGUGAGCUGCAAAUAGUAGCUCUCCCUUGACUUCUGCGCCGCACUCUCCUUCUCCUCAUCCACCUCUCGCCUCGUCGACUCCUGCGAAUGCGAAUUCGUAUGCGAAUCCUUCAGACCGCUCGACACGUUCCCUUCCACCGUCGUUCCAGAGAACAGGCUCCCAGCAUAGCUACUACCGCUCGACACCCUCGGCAACGACACCUGCCGAUCAAACUGCUGGUCCUUUCCUGCCACCACCUCCGGCACCGGCGCUGGCGGUGGAGGCAACAACACGUCGCGAUCACCUUCAUCGUUCCGCGACCUCAACCUCACGUGACCCGAUCUGUCACCCUUUUUCUCCACCAACCAGUCACAAAAAGCGGCGAGUUGCUUCUUGCUCCGAAACUUAUCGCUUCCCGUGAAUAGAUCAGAAGCAUUGUAAGUCCUAUCAGCAGUCACAUCCUUGGUUGUUCUCGUACCUUUUCUGUUACUUUCGCCUCCAAUCUUCUUCUCGUGAGCCAGCAGCUCCUUGGAAGAUGCAUCGAAUCUGCGGUCGGGAAACUGCCUGGGGAAGAAGUAAGUGGUUCUGUGAGGCAUUUUUACCAGCCUCAACAAACCUUACACCCUCGCUCCCUCGCUUGCCUCUCUCAAUCUCCGACCACUCACAUCCUCAAACCAAACAACAACGCCCUAAUUGACCGUACAAGCUUUCUCUCUCUGCAAGCCUUUUAACGAUCAAAUGAGUUGAUGAGCUCUGAAAGCCUUAAGAUCCCGCACAAACAAUGGUUCAUUGUUGGCGAUUGAUCCAGCGAAGAAGAAGAUAGAUAUAAGAAACAGGGUGAGAAAAGAAAUGUUGGGAGACUUUGGUUGUUAUGGGAAAUGAGAGUGGAUGAGUGGGAAAAAUAAAAGAAGAAGCAACACGUGAGGCGACGGUGGUGGCUAACGGGCGCAGCAUACGUGAAUGCGCACCUUUAUUGCAGGGAGAACACGUAAGGAUGCAGUGCGAGGAGGUUAAGACACGUGAGCAAAAAGGCAUUCGGGUGCGUGAUGCGCACUGUGAACAGGUUAUGGAGAGUCGCAGGGGAACUGAGAGUCGGUCUGGGUGGUCGAAAAUAUUAUUAUUAUAUCUCAAAAAACUGCAUCAUUAUUCUUAUAUCUCCCCAAAAAAUAAAAAAUAAAGGAGCAAUCGUCAUUGGGAACAAGCAGCUUGUGAAAUGACGGAGACGCCCCAGGUGUUUGUUGCGAAUGACGAAGUCAGAGACACCUUUUCUCGACAUCUUCCUCCCAACCCCAACCGCAUCCGCAUCCGCAUGUGACAUCCCUGCUGCCUUCCCCCCUGGCUGUAAAGCCCCCCUCCCCGCUCCCCCUGUCAUCCAUUUUCCCUUUCCCUUCCUUCACUUGAUGUGCGUGAUGCUACCGGUUUUUCCUUUUUCCCCCUUUUUCGUAAUUUUUCCGAUAGCCUAUACAGUAUUCAUACAUGGUGUGUUGCUUCCUUUCCUAAGCUGUGCCUUUUAUUGCGAUUGACAGUUGGUUGUUGAAAGCGUCCACCCAAUUUAUUAUCAAAUCUGUGAGUCAUUGAAUCACUAAAUAAAUAUAUCAUAUUGGUUUCAUGCCACUGCCUAUCAAAUUUCUUUGGUUUGCUUUGAAUGGGACACAUGGACUAAAAUAACAGCCGUCAAUUCAUCAAAAGGCGAUGGUUUGUAAGGGAUUGGCUCUCGAUGCAAUGUAUCGAACCCCCUCGUACUCUUAUUCAUUACCACCUAAUUAAUAACAAGGCAUGAUAAUGGCCUCAAGCCAUGAACUUAUCUGACCGUAUUGGCCAUUAGACGUAGCAUCAUGGAUCGUUCCAAUCAUGAAGCGCAUUAGUGUUGAUCGCCGGAUUUUCCUAGUUUAAAAAACGGACCACUUGCCAUUUUCUAUUUAAAGAAGUGAGGGAAUAGAUCUCGCGCAUUGUGCCUUUGCCCAAAAUAACAAACAGGCCCAUUUUUUAAUCACUUUUCGUGUGGUGGAAGCGAAUCACAUUGGUUUAUAAUUUAUUUUUUUUAGUGCAAAUGAUAAUUAAAUUUGUAGCAUGGAGAAUGAGUCACAUUGAUAUGAUCAUCCCUCGUCUAUGGAUGCAGCGCUGAAGAGAGUAUGCAGAUAGGUCAAGGACUUAAAACAGAGCACAUGCUUGGUGAAAGAGGGAAUGUCACUGG